rnacentral:rRNA from 1 species
CCUACGAGUGGCUGCAGUGAGGAAUAUUGGUCAAUGGGCGCGAGCCUGAACCAGCCAAGUAGCGUGAAGGAUGACUGCCCUACGGGUUGUAAACUUCUUUUAUAAAGGAAUAAAGUGAAGCACGUGUGCCUUUUUGUAUGUACUUUAUGAAUAAGGAUCGGCUAACUCCGUGCCAGCAGCCGCGGUAAUACGGAGGAUCCGAGUGUUAUCCGGAUUUAUUGGGUUUAAAGGGAGCGUAGAUGGGUUGUUAAGUCAGUUGUGAAAGUUUGCGGCUCAACCGUAAAAUUGCAAUUGAUACUGGCAGUCUUGAGUACAGUUGAGGUAGGCGGAAUUCGUGGUGUAGCGGUGAAAUGCUUAGAUAUCACGAAGAACUCCGAUUGCGAAGGCAGCUUACUAAACUGCCACUGACAUUGAUGCUCGAAAGUGUGGGUAUCAAACAGGAUUAGAUACCCCAGUAGUC